rnacentral:lncRNA from 1 species
UACCCUUAAAGUCUUGACCUUCUCUUUCCUUGGCUGCUCAGGUCAUAGGUGCUGCAAUCUAGAGACAAAAUAUUCCUUACACUGCCAGAUACUUGCAAACUAAGGGGAACGAGCUUCCCUCUGAAUGUUUAUGAAGGAGAGACCACUGUGAGGAUAGACAGUGAAGUGCAACUACAGCCCGCAAAUGAAAAUGAAUAAAAUUAAUCCAGCCCCUCAAGGCAGUCAUCUGUCUUAGAGCUAUUGGAAUCCUGGAUCAUUGUGGGAAAUGAAAAGAACUGGUUUUUAGCAAGGAGACCAAGAAACUCUACUCCCUAGGGGCUAGCAAUGAGAGAAAGGAAGCCUUGAGUCUUUGAGCACAGGGUGACAGUUUGGGUCCUAUGUGAGAUGAUCAAAUCCACAGCAACAGAGGAAAGGACAAAAGGAAAAGGUCUGUAGCAGCACUACAUCAGAAAAAAUGGAUUCCGCAAGGAAGUGGGUGACUCUGAAUACUUCGAUGGAAUCAGCAGCCAUUGAUCCAAUGCCAACUCCAAGACUGGAACGUCGCAAUGAUAGUUCCAAGGCGGAAAUUUGACGUAAUUCUUUUCGACACAGUUUUACAGGUCUGGAUGCCCAUUUUAAUUCUUCUGAAAGCAUGCCUCCUUCUGGCUUCAGGACUCCAUCUCCAGCCUUAUGAUCUAAAAAUAAUCCCCAAACCAAAAAAUUAGAUAUUAUUUCCUCAAAAUUAGGUGUUUUAAUCAAAACAUCUUAACAUAAAUACAUUAUUAUCACCCAAUAUGCAUAA